AUCUGGGUGGCGAAAUUCAGAAUGGCUGMCGGGCUUCGCGCCUAUUCGGCCGUUUGAUAUUUUCGUCGCCGUGUCAGACGUCGCGACCUGUUUGUCGUCGGUCCUUGUUCAAAGGAGUCGCAAUCGAGUUCAUUGUGGGUGCGCUUCGGCGCACCAUACGGUGAAGAUGCGAAUUUCUGGCUGACGAUAGACAGUAAGCAAUGGUGACCGAUGCUGUGUUUUGUAUGCAGCAUUGGCACCGGUCAGCGACGAUUUCUUCGGGCCUCUUUCCGACCCGUCUUGAAACACGGACCAAGGAGUCUAACAUACGCGCGAGUCGCGGGGUAUCGAGCGUACUACGGUGCGCUCGGCACAUUUUGAAACCCGUAUAUGUUGAAGGCGUAAUGAAAGUAAAUGGGGAAGAUGGUGUUCCGAGUAAACGUACUGUGAUUCAUCACAGCCGGACGCCCGCAUUCCCGGGGCGUCUCAAAUGUUCGUUGCGGAUGCGGCCGGUCGUCUUUCGGGGUGAUCGGCGGUCUGCAACGGUCUGAGGCGCACCUAUAGCGUGUACGUUGGUACCCGAAAGAUGGUGAACUAUGCCUGGCCAGGAUGAAGUCAGGGGAAACCCUGAUGGAGGUCCGCAGCGAUUCUGACGUGCAAAUCGAUCGUCUGAGCUGGGUAUAGGGGCGAAAGACUAAUCGAACCAUCUAGUAGCUGGUU
rnacentral:rRNA from 1 species